rnacentral:rRNA from 1 species
GACAGAGGUGCCGAGCGUUUAGGCGGAAUCACUGGGCUUAAAGCGUGUGUAGGCGGACCGUUAAGUACCUUGUGAAAUCCCCCGGCUCAACCGGGGAACGGCUGGGUAUACUGGCGGUCUUGAGCCAUCCAGGGGCAGUCGGAACAGACGGUGGAGCGGUGAAAUGCGUAGAUAUCGUCUGGAACGCCGAAGGUGAAAACAGACUGCUGGGGAUGAGCUGACGCUGAGACACGAAAGCCAGGGGGAGCCGAACGGG